rnacentral:tRNA from 1 species
AGCUCAGUCGGUAGAGCACUUGCUUCACAUGCAAGGGGUCACAGGUUCGAGUCCUAUCCGGA